rnacentral:rRNA from 1 species
UACAGAGGGUGCGAGCGUUAAUCGGAAUUACUGGGCGUAAAGCGUGCGUAGACGGUAGCGUAAGUCAGAUGUGAAAGCCCCGGGCUCAACCUGGGAAUUGCAUUUGAGACUGCUCUGCUCGGGUGCGGAAGAGGGAAGCGGAAUUUCCGGUGUAGCGGUGAAAUGCGUAGAUAUCGGAAGGAACACCAGUGGCGAAAGCGGCUUCCUGGUCCGACACAGACGUUCAGGCACGAAAGCGUGGGGAGCAAACAGG